rnacentral:tRNA from 1 species
CUGCCCUUAGCUCAGAUGGAUAGAGCAACUGCCUUCUAAGCAGUAGGCCACAGGUUCGAAUCCUGUAGGGCAGGCCA